rnacentral:lncRNA from 1 species
CAGUACUCACGUGCAAGUACAGCAGCGGUGAGAAAAGUAUUGAUUUUUUGUGUUAUUGCAUGAAAGCAAAUUAACGAAUUACAUCCACAUAAAAUUAUGAGUCACAGACGCAAAAGCUAAGCCAGAAGAGCCUAGCAGACUCCGACUGUUUCUAGUGCAAGUGGCAAAGGACUUGGUGGUUGGUAUUCGAGACCCAAGUUCAAAUCCUAGUUGAUUCACAUUUUCAGCUAAGCUUAUUUCUAAAUAAAAUAAACGAAGCGGGUAGCAUGCUAUCUUUCUCUCUCUCUCAAAAAAAAAAAAAA